AACGAACGCUGGCGGCAUGCCUAACACAUGCAAGUCGAACGCCCGUAGCAAUACGGGAGUGGCAGACGGGUGCAUAACACGUGGGAACCUACCCUAGGGUUCGGAAUAACCGCGGGAAACUGCGGCUAAUACCGGAUACGUCCUCUGGGAGAAAGAUUUAUCGCCCUUGGAGGGGCCCGCGUCGGAUUAGCUAGUUUGUGAGGUAACGGCUCACCAAGGCGACGAUCCGUAGCUGAUCUGAGAGGAUGAUCAGCCACACUGGAACUGAGACACGGUCCAGACCCCUACGGGAGGCAGGAGUGGGGAAUAUUGGACAAUGGGCGCAAGCCUGAUCCAGCAAUGCCGCGUGGGUGAUGAAGGCCUUCGGGUUGUAAAGCCCUUUUGGCAGGGACGAUGAUGACGGUACCUGCAGAAUAAGCCCCGGCUAACUUCGUGCCAGCCGCCGCCUAA
rnacentral:rRNA from 1 species